rnacentral:rRNA from 1 species
CCUACGGGGGGCAGCAGUGGGGAAUAUUGGACAAUGGGGGGAACCCUGAUCCAGCCAUGCCGCGUGUGUGAAGAAGGCCCUCGGGUUGUAAAGCACUUUCAGUGAGGAAGAACGCCUGGUGGUUAAUACCCAUCAGGAAAGACAUCACUCACAGAAGAAGCACCGGCUAACUCCGUGCCAGCAGCCGCGGUAAUACGGAGGGUGCGAGCGUUAAUCGGAAUUACUGGGCGGAAAGCGCGCGUAGGUGGCUUGAUAAGCCGGUUGUGAAAGCCCCGGGCUCAACCUGGGAACGGCAUCCGGAACUGUCAAGCUAGAGUGCAGGAGAGGAAGGUAGAAUUCCCGGUGUAGCGGUGAAAUGCGUAGAGAUCGGGAGGAAUACCAGUGGCGAAGGCGGCCUUCUGGACUGACACUGACACUGAGGUGCGAAAGCGUGGGUAGCAAACAGGAUUAGAUACCCCUGUAGUC